GGGGAUUGACGGGGAAAAGAGGAAGAGAACCAGAAAAAAGAAACAGCAAAAGAAAAAAAGGGAAUCAUAGAAUCAGAGGUUUUGGAGCCGCGGCUGAGAAGUUUGCAACGGCUAAGGGGGGCUGGAAAAGGAAAUGAGAAGAGCGAAAUCGAGACUGGGAGAUUGAGAGUGAAAGAGAGAGACACCGAGGAGAGGGCUAGAAAAGAAAACCGAGAGAAAGAACGACAGAGAAAGGAGACGGCACGGAAAGCUGUGGUCUUUGGACUGAGAGAAAAGAAAUCUGAGCAGGGAGAGAAGGAAAUAGCAAGUCACAUUUUUGAAAAUCUGGUGAAUCCUUAUCGAAGGUCAGACCUUCAUAGUUUCUUACUAAAAUCUACAACCUGGGCUGUUUGAUAUUUGAAGCAGUUGCAUCACUCAUUCUGCUCGGUGAUUUCUACCGCCCUUUCGAGUCUUUAAGGCAGAGAAAGAAUUUGAGGCUGCAGGAGGAACUUUGGUGGAGACUUUUUGGAGGAAAAAGCUUGUGGUAGCUUGGUCUUCUUUCGAUUUCAAGUUUGUUGGUGAUCAAGGGCAUAAUCCGAGGGGCGAACU